CAGCGAAGCCUGUGUCGGCUUUCAUCUCGGUCGUCAAGCCAUAUAUAUAUUACUCUGAGUCCCGGGUAGCCAAUGGAUCAGAAUUAAUUCAGCCUUUUCCGCCACCGUUGACCAAAUGGAUUCCCUCCAGAGCUGCUAUACUCAGGCACAGCUAUAACACUCAGACAAUGCCGUAGGCCGUGUAUGAUCCCAGGCCGCUUGAAAAUGCCCUGAUGCGCCUUCAGUCUACGCCAGCUACUCCAUUUGGGCAGACAUGCCCCCUGACUGACUUGAAGUCAGCCCUUUGUUUCCUCGUCGCUGGUUGGAGCCCUCCUCAGACAUCACGAUACAUGUGCAAGCCUCUAAGGACUAAAGAUUGCUGAGUCCGUGCUCCGUCUCCUCGCAGCACUUCCUUACCACUAGAUAUUAUCAAUUUGGAAACCAGCAUUGAAUUAGAUGUUGAUUUUGGCCAGUUUUUCCAUAUUGUGAAGGAUAGGAAUGAUCCAGACAUAUUCAUGGCGCUCCGACCACGUGUGGCCAAAUUGCCUUGCCUUUA